AUUCCGCAAAAUCUACUUGACUCAUGGAAAAGGUGGAUAGGGCUUCUAGGUCACCUUCACAAAGUCCGAGUCCCACGAUGCAUCUUCUACAAUACCGACUCUCGAAUAAAUUACAAACUUCAGCUACACACUUUUGUGGACGCGAGCGAAGCCGCCUACUCUUGUGUGGUCUACAUUCGACUUGAAAACAAAAAUGACUGUAAAUGCAGACUUAUCUCAGCGAAAACAAAGGUGGCGCCGCUCAAACCGCUUUCCAUCCCGAGAUUAGAACUUCAGGCUGCCGCCCUCGGCGCAAGACAUCUCCAAACAGUCGCUACUUCGAUGACUCUUCCGAUAGAGAAAAGGGUGUUUUGGUCGGACUCAGCAACGGUGUUAGCCUGGAUACGGUCAGACAGCAGGCGAUUUCAUCAGUUCGUGACCUUCAGAGUCGGGGAAAUAUUGUCGAGCACAAAUGUAGAAGAAUGGAGACAUGUUCCAUCGGCGCUAAACGUUGCUGAUGAGGCCACCAAAUGGAAUAACGAGCCUUCCUUUGAUCCCGAUAGUCGAUGGUACCGAGGACCAACAUUCUUACUAGAAUUGGAAGAGCAGUGGCCAAGGGCAUCAGGUAAAUCUUUCACAACCGAGGAUGAGCUCAGAGCAGUUCACGUCCACGUUCACAACACAGACCCGCUUAUAGAUACUACUCGCUUUUCAACAUUCAAUCGUAUGCUGCGAACAACUUCCUACAUUGUUCGUGGUGCCGAUUCUUUCCGACAUCGGUUACCGCCCGGGACGGUAGAGAAAAUACUUCAACGCGAUGAGAUCCAGAAGGCUGAACGCGUUUUAUGGAAACAAGCACAGGCAGACGUCUUUUUCGCUGAGAUAGAUCUAUUGAACAGAGGAAAACCCAUUCCAGCUUCUAGCCAUAUUUACAAGUUAAAUCCCUUCACGGAUGAACAUUCGAUCAUACGGGUUGGGUCUCGAUUAAAUCUAGCCCCGAUCAGCUAUGAUGCUAAGUUCCCGGUACUGCUGCCUAAAGAGAAUCGGAUUACACAUCUGUUGAUUCUUCAUUUUCAUGUUAAAUUCCUGCAUGCAAAUAGAGAGACCGUCCUUAACGAAAUGAGACAACAAUACUAUAUUCCUAACAUGCGCUCGAUCAUACGUAGAAUAGCAAACGCAUGUUUAUAUUGUAAAGUGAAACGAGCUAACCCAAAACCUCCUAUUAUGGCACCUUUACCCCGUGUCAGGCUUACCCCACACAUUCGUCCUUUCUCAUAUAUAGGUGUGGACUACUUUGGCCCCAUUCAGGUGAAAGUAGGCAGAAGUCUAGCCAAGCGUUGGGUAUGCCUAUUUACCUGCCUUACAAUUCGUGCUAUUCACCUUGAAGUGGUUUAUACGUUGAGCACGCAAUCCUGCAUUAUGGCUUUCAGAAGGUUCAUUGCUAGAAGGGGAGCACCACAAGAGGUUUACUCUGAUAACGGCACCUGUUUUAAAGGGGCAAGCCGAGAGCUGGCAGAAGAAAGAAAACAAAGAACACUUAUUGAUGAAGCGUGCGCCUCUACGUUCACCAACGCUUCUACGGCCUGGUAUUUUAACCCCCCAGCCACACCCCACAUGGGUGGGGCCUGGGAACGUAUGGUGAAAUCAGUUAAAUUGGCACUCCAAGUACUAUCUGAACACGUGAGACACCCGAAUGAUGAGGCAUUCGAAACCAUAUUAUUGGAAGCGGAAAGUAUUGUCAAUUCUCGGCCGUUGACGUACGUACCCCUCGAAUGUGACGAGCAAGAGGCAUUGACUCCCAACCACUUUUUGUUGUGCUGGUCCAAGGAAGUCCAACAACCACCUUCGGAGUUAAACAACUAUCGCAACUCCUUAAGAGAUAGUUGGAGCCUAACUAGGCACUUAGUCGAUGGAUUUUGGAGAAGGUGGAUAGUCGAAUAUUUACCAAUGCUCACGAGAAGAACAAAAUGGUUCGAACCCGUGAAACCCCUUGGAAGAGGCGACCUGGUGCUUGUCAUAAACGAGAAUGUCAGAAACGGCUAUGAACGUGGACGGAUCGAAAAGGUUGUAUUAGGUGCCGAUGGGCAAGUACGCAGAGCAUGGGUGAAGACAAGCAGCGGAACAUCACUGAAAGCAGCUACCAGACUAGCGGUCCUUGACGUCCUGGGAGUGCCCUCGGGAAAAGGGGUACUUCACGGGCAGGGGGAUGUUGCGGUAACCCGUGACGAACGAGUGAGAGUACCGUCCAUUCCCUCGGUCGGAAAUACGUCAUACGAAGUAAACAGGAUAGUGUCAUCUAGGUAGUACUCUUGAAGGUAGAUAGCGUGUUCUCGGAUAGAGUUGCGAAUCAGAUUAUUUCGAAGAUCAUUUAAAUUGUUACCCACAGUAUAUCAUAUCUUAGUUUGUACACGAAAAGUGGAUAAGGAAAGAGUUUGAGGUUAACUUGUGACAAGCUAGAGAAUUCAUAGAAAAGGAUUAACACUAAAUUUUCUUAAAGCUGUACUGAACUGAACUGCUAAAGAAGAGUGUUAUACGAAUUCUCUACCGCCACAAGAAACACUGGCUUUGUGAAUCAGUCUGAUCCGUGUCAAAAGCGUAAGUUUGAUAAACGAAAAGUACUCAUUUUGUGUUUACAAAUCAUUACCGGUGAUUUCCAACGCUGAGGUGCAGAUAAGGCUGGCGCGAGUAUGGUAUCCCAGGCGUACUGGGUUCGAUUCCCGGUAUUGGCAAGAAAAUUUUUAGGUUCGAAUCCCAUAAGUUGCCGACAGACAUGAUAUAGCAGAAAUAGCUGGCUUGGCAGCGCUGAGCUUUGGAGUAGAAGAUGUGGACCGUUACAUUGUAGUUUACAAGAAGGAAAAUAUGCCCUCCGAAGAUGAAUUGGCCGCUCG